rnacentral:rRNA from 1 species
GGGUGGACCGCAAGUCGGCCCGGGGAAUUCAACUCGCCGUUCUCGGCGGCGGACGUCGGUGUCAGGGAUCCGUAAAGACCCGCGCCGUUGUUCCGACCUGUCGACGGCGAGUGCACUUUCCUCGGGUAGAGCGCCACGACCGGUUUCGGCGGCGGUCACAAGCCGGUACGGGAAGGUGACCGGCGUCCCGCGAGGGACGUCCGGUGUUUAUAGCCCGACCUGGUGGACUCGCCGCGAGACCGAGGAUUUGCCGCGUCUCGCUUGGCCCCUCGGCCCUCCGGGUGCGUACGACUGGGGAAGCACUGCUUGCAGUUCUCUCCGACCGCGCGCCCGCGAUCGGUCGGGGAAGCCAGGGGACGCUUCGGGUCAGUGGCGAAUCGGUCGGUCCUCCACCCGACCCGUCUUGAAACACGGACCAAGGAGUCUAACAUGUGCGCGAGUCAUGGGGUUGCUUACGAAACCUACAGGCGCAAUGAAAGUGGAGGUCCAUCUCCGGUGGGCCUAGGUAGGAUCCCCGUCUCCUGUCUCGCGACGGAAUGGGGCGCACUACCGGCCCGUCUCGACCACGUCGUUGGUGGGGCGGAGCAAGAGCGUACACGUUGGGACCCGAAAGAUGG